GAUGAACGCUAGCUACAGGCUUAACACAUGCAAGUCGAGGGGAAACGAUAUUGGAAGCUUGCUUCCGAUAGGCGUCGACCGGCGCACGGGUGAGUAACGCGUAUCCAACCUGCCCACCACUUGGGGAUAACCUUGCGAAAGUAAGACUAAUACCCAAUGAUAUAUCUAGAAGACAUCUGAAGGAGAUUAAAGAUUUAUCGGUGAUGGAUGGGGAUGCGUCUGAUUAGCUUGUCGGCGGGGUAACGGCCCACCAAGGCGACGAUCAGUAGGGGUUCUGAGAGGAAGGUCCCCCAGAUUGGAACUGAGACACGGUCCAAACUCCUACGGGAGGCAGCAGUGAGGAAUAUUGGUCAAUGGACGAGAGUCUGAACCAGCCAAGUAGCGUGCAGGAUGACGGCCCUAUGGGUUGUAAACUGCUUUUAUAAGGGAAUAAAGUGAGCCUCGUGAGGCUUUUUGCAUGUACCUUAUGAAUAAGGACCGGCUAAUUCCGUGCCAGCCGCCGCCGUAA
rnacentral:rRNA from 1 species